UACGGGGGGGGCAAGCGUUGUUCGGAAUUACUGGGCGUAAAGGGCGCGUAGGUGGCCUUCUUAGUCAGACGUGAAAUCCCCGGGCUUAACUCGGGAACUGCGUCUGAUACUGGAAGGCUUGAGUUCGGGAGAGGAAUGUGGAAUUCCAGGUGUAGCGGUGAAAUGCGUAGAUAUCUGGAGGAACACCGGUGGCGAAGGCGGCAUUCUGGACCGAAACUGACGCUGAGGCGCGAAAGCCAGGGGAGCAAACGGG
rnacentral:rRNA from 1 species